AUGCCAUCCAGUCUAGAGAGUAAAAAAAUGAUAAGUAAAAAGGAAACAGUAGCCUGCACUACUAGUACUUUACUCGUUGAACCCAGCUCGUUCCUCUCCUCGUCUUCUCUGCUAUCCCAAGAACAGAACCAGCCACCCACCUCUCUCUCUCUCCCCAAGAACAGAGCAUGGCCGCCGCCGCCUCGAUCUGCCCCGUCCGGGCAUCUCCGGCGACACGGUGGACACCUACAGAUUCUCCUCGUCUCCCUCUAUCAUUUCCCCCUAUUUCUUUUAUCCGCCGCCGCCAAAAACGUCGCCACCACUCAAUCCUAG
rnacentral:rRNA from 1 species